UGAGUUUGGAUAGGCGGUGCGUUUACUUGCGGUUAGUGUAAAAACAGUGGUGGCGAUGAGAUUAGAUACUGUAGCGAUACUGUAACGUGAGACAAAAAGUAAGCUAAACGCACCGCACCGCACCCAAUCGUCCAUCCAGACCCACCCUAAGUAUUAAAGAAGAGUACACAUAACACAUCACAUUAUCGUACAUCGCUGACAUAUAUAUAAUAAAAGGUUUAUAUUUAAUACCGACAAUCUAUGCAUCAACUAUAAAUUUAUAUGAUAAGCGAUAGACCUUGUUAUGAUCAUCUCUGUUUGGUCCAGUAGAAUGACCUGCGCCGGGGCUAUGACCGGGAGUUUUGGGCCGGAAAUCAUCAGUACCAUACUCCGUACCAACUUGUCUGCAACAAAUGCUUCAUAAUGAUCAGCUUUCAAAACUUUCCUCAUUAAAUGAAACUCCAUAAGCAAACAACAACACAAAGAGAAGGGCAAUUAUUUAGCCAUGGAAACUGAAAUAUUCAGUAACUGUAAAAACCUAACAAUGGAAUACAGAAAAAUAA
rnacentral:lncRNA from 1 species